UCACGCUGUAAUCCCAGCACUUCGGGAGGCCGAGGUGGCUGGAUCGCCUGAGGUCAGGAGUUCAAGACCAGCCUGGCCAAUAUGGUGAAACCCCGUCUCUACUAAAAAUACAAAAAAUUAGCUGGGCAUGAUGGUGGGGCCUGUAAUCCCAGCUACUCGGGAGGCCGAGGCAGGAGAAUCGCUUGGACCCGGGAGGUGGAGGUUGCAGUGAGCAGAGAUCGCACCACUGCACUCCAGCCUGGGUGAGAGUGAAACCCUGUCUCAAAAAAAAAAGAGACAUUUGUAUUAGAUCUUUGAACUGUUUCCAGCUGGCGUCUUAGAAACGUUACUCAACCCAGACAGACAGACGGAACCCUCUCCAGGGUAGAGCGCGCACCCCGCUGGGACCUGGAACAGAAGGAACAGAAGGGCCUGUGGGUGGAGGGUGAGGCGGGCAGGGGACGACCCGCCCUGAGCUGCCUGGUCCCCGCUCCGCCCGGGCCUCUUCAGCCUCAGUUUCCUCAGCUGCAGGGAGCUGCCCGGAGAACCAGGCGCCUCCCGGUUGCUUUCGCCUCCCGCCCUGUCUCGCCGCUGCUCCGUGUUGACUGGAGACUAAACGCUGCGUUCAGCUCCUUUCCCGCGAGCAGCAGCAGCCGACUCUCCGCCCUGACCACGGGAACCACGCCAGGCAGCGGGCGGCUCCCCGCAGGGCAGGGAGGGCUGGGCCCGGCCGCUGCAGAGGGUCCCGGAGCAGGGGACGCAUGGACGACCCUCCCAGCGCCGGUGCAGCACGAGGCCCAGGCUGCCUCCGCCUUUUUUCAACUCCGAAUCCAGAGUGCAGGGAAUUGGGCUUCCACUGAGCGCAAUACGGCCACUCGUGCCCCGGCUGAAAGCAGCCAGCACCCUGGUGCACCUCGUGGGCCAGGUCAGCCCCCAGGAAGGCGCUCCCACCAGAAGGUGCACAGGGGCGGGGUCCCGGAGGGCCAGCCGUUCUACCCCCGCCACAAACAGGAGGGUCAGGGAUGGCACACCUGCUGCGCCCGGCUGGGUUCCAGCCCCGGACUGACAGCCCC
rnacentral:lncRNA from 1 species